CCUCCAGCAGCCGGACGCAGGGCAGAGGCGCCGUGUGAUGCGUCCACCGACCUUGAAUGUUCUGCUGUGUGACAGUGUAUUGAAGAAGGAAAGAGUGUAUUGAAGAAGGAUGGAGGAAGGCAAGGGACUCACAAAUACUGAGGGACAAGUGAUGUAGGAAUGGCAAUAAGGCCACUAACAAGCAAACAGUUCCAAACAUCACAACAGCUGCUCCAAGACUGCCACUACUAUGGUCACUGACAUGCCACCAGUGGGAAACAACCACCUAAUGCAGGACUCCAACACCAUACAAGGAGUCACAAACAAAUCCAUGACCAGCUGAUCCCAAGUACUUGUGUGCAUAACUCGUACUCCCAUCAAGGAACCAUAGGCUACUUAGGGGGCAAACUCUCCUCUUCCUCCUCAUUAUACACCACAGUUUAUUGUUUAUUUAAUUUUUGAUGUACUGAACUUCUGAAUCUUUGGAGGAUUUUCAAAGUUUCUCAUGGAUGCAGAUUUGGCACCUUAAUUCCACACAUUUGAAAACUACAAAUGUAUUAUGUCAACUUUAUGACCAAAUAGGGCACACUGUUUA